GACGAACGCUGGCGGCGUGCUUAACACAUGCAAGUCGAACGGUGACGGAGAGCUUGCUCUCCUGAUCAGUGGCGAACGGGUGAGUAACACGUGGGCAACCUGCCCCAGACUUCGGGAUAACGCUUCGAAAGAGGUGCUAAUACCGGAUACGAGUUCCUUGGGCAUCCUUGGAGUUGGAAAGUUUUUCGGUCUGGGAUGGGCCCGCGGCCUAUCAGCUAGUUGGUGAGGUAACGGCUCACCAAGGCGACGACGGGUAGCCGGCCUGAGAGGGCGACCGGCCACACUGGGACUGAGACACGGCCCAGACUCCUACGGGAGGCAGCAGUGGGGAAUAUUGCGCAAUGGGCGAAAGCCUGACGCAGCAACGCCGCGUGAGGGAUGACGGCCUCGGUUGUAA
rnacentral:rRNA from 1 species